rnacentral:rRNA from 1 species
AUACGUAGGUGGCAAGCGUUGUCCGGAAUUAUUGGGCGUAAAGCGCGCGCAGGUGGUUCCUUAAGUCUGAUGUGAGAGCCCCCGGCUCAACCGGGGAGGGUCAUUGGAAACUGGGGAACUUGAGUGCAGAAGAGGAUAGUGGAAUUCCAAGUGUAGCGGUGAAAUGCGUAGAGAUUUGGAGGAACACCAGUGGCGAAGGCGACUGUCUGGUCUGUAACUGACACUGAGGCGCGAAAGCGUGGGGAGCAAACAGGAUUAGAUACCCUGGUAGUCCACGCCGUAAACGAUGAGUGCUAAGUGUUGGGGGGUUUCCGCCCCUCAGUGCUGCAGCUAACGCAUUAAGCACUCCGCCUGGGGAGUACGGUCGCAAGACUGAAACUCAAAGGAAUUGACGGGG